GUGGGGAAUCUUGCGCAAUGGGCGAAAGCCUGACGCAGCCAUGCCACGUGAAUGAUGAAGGUCUUAGGAUUGUAAAAUUCUUUCACCGGGGACGAUAAUGACGGUACCCGGAGAAGAAGCUCCGGCUAACUUCGUGCCAGCAGCCGCGGUAAUACGAAGGGGGCUAGCGUUGCUCGGAAUUACUGGGCGUAAAGGGCGCGUAGGCGGACAGCUUAGUCAGAGGUGAAAGCCCAGGGCUCAACCUUGGAAUUGCCUUUGAUACUGGCUGUCUUGAGUUUGGGAGAGGUGAGUGGAACUCCGAGUGUAGAGGUGAAAUUCGUAGAUAUUCGGAAGAACACCAGUGGCGAAGGCGACUCACUGGCCCAAUACUGACGCUGAGGCGCGAAAGCGUGGGGAGCAAACAGGAUUAGAUACCCCAGUAGUCC
rnacentral:rRNA from 1 species